UGGGCGCCCUGCUGGAGCUCGAUGCGCGGUGAGGACCAGGGAGUCAGCACCGCGGACAGCGGCCGCGCCGCUGUCAAGUCGGACCCGCGACGCCCCUGCUGUCCGGGUGAAUUGAUUUUUGGAGAAAGGGCAGAAGAAACCCGAGACCUAGGGGAAGGCUGGGGAUGGCUCCUGCUUUAACCUCUUCCUUCCCGACCCUGGGUCUGAUUUCAUUCCCUGACUUCUAAUUGGGGGUCCGCCGGAAGCCGCCGGCCAGCUCCGCUCUUCUGCCCAGGUGGGGCUUCUCUAGGUUCUGCACCUCUGGCCCAGCCUGGACCACAGGUUGCCGUUUGUAUUUGCCACUCGCCCAUCAGGAGGCCCUGCCGGGAGAGCUCCUAGGGGUCAAAGGAAACUUCUGGGUGCCCUCAUGUGGCUCGUUUAGAACCUGGCGGAUCCCAGAGAGGCCGGCCCAAAAUGCGGCGGCCUAGGAAAGAAGAGUCUGCGUGCUUUCUUAGUGGCUUGCCACUGGCUCCCGAACCAGCUGACUCCUGUUUCCAUGAACAUAUUAACAUGAAUGAAAUCGCAUUUGGAUUAUUACCACCUCCUAAAAGAGGAUUUAGGAUUACGAGGCUCCUGUCACAAAAAUGCCUUCCUCGUUCCCUGGCUGCAAAAGGAGCCAAAGAUGAGAAAUAAAUAGCUCGGGAAAUUGACAUUGAAUGAAAAUGCCCGCUCCAAAAGCGUGGCUCGACUGAUCACAAUUGAAACCGAGGAACAAAGUCAAAAGGGGAUGGCACCCCAAGCAAGCUGCCGGUGGUGAGCUGUGCCACAGAGCCUUCCACAAAAUCAUGGCAACUGGAAGAGAGAGUUUGGAGACCCAACAAAUGGAGCCUGCGUCUGGGGCAGCGCCCCGCGGGCCGCCCUUCCCUCUGUGGUCAGAUACGUAGAUAAGAAGAAAGUGGUUAACACUGCUCGUCAGCAGAGCAGCCUUGAUUCGUUCAUUCCCGAGCCUGAAACAUCGGGAGUUGGCCCACGGGGUCCUGGAGGAGGAAGAGGCAUUUCAGGAGGGCGCUGGGCAGUCUGCAGACAUCUCAAGGGGGGUUUGUGAAGAGAUGACUGGGUUUCCAGUCCCCAACGACUGAGCCAGACGCUGUUAUCAUUUAAUCUGCCUAUCGACCGAUGAGACCUUUAGGGAAGCAAAACUGUUUAUGGGAUGUCUUUGCCACAUUUGAAUCCUGCGACCUAUGGGGGGAGAACAUAAGGCGAGAUUAGGGCUGUUUCUGGUCCCCAAAUUUCCUGGUUUCAGAUGUCACCAGGAGUGUGGGAGGAGAGCUAUCCUCAGACCUCACAGGACAUUUACAGAGAACAUGUGGACUUUCCCCAGGCCAGGGGUCGUCUAGCAACUUGUCUGCCCAGGAGUGUGAGGCCAGCCGGGUGUCCGGGACACCUGCACAGACUUUGAACAGACAUCACAGAGCUAUGUUCUAGCCUCCAGCUUCCAGCAACUCAUUCCUUUCCUUUCCCUUCAUUUCCCCCAGAACAGGUUGGCCUCGUGUUUUUGUAACUGGACAUUCCAGCCUUAUCAGAGAGCUGGUCAAAUGUUUGUCUUUCAUGGACUUAAUAUUUACUUAUAGUGCAAGAGUGACUAACCACACACAGCACGCUAGUCUCUUAGUUAAUCGAAUCAACAUUCACUUAUUAAGCCCUGAAUUUCAUCCUAGACUCCGGAGUCAGCCUGCCGAAGACUGAAUCCUCCAUCAGCUGUUACCUGUAGGGGAGUUACUUAACCUCUUUGUGCCUCGGUUUCUCUGUCCGUAACAUGGGAUGAUAGAAUUUACCUUAGGUAGUUGUCAUGAGGGUCAAAUGAGGUGAUACAGGUGAAGGACUUAGAAUAGCACCUGGACCGUGGUAAGUGCUCAGUAAAUAUGUCGUCGUAUUAUAUCACUACCACCCCGUGCUGCUGGGCACACAGUGUGCUUCUGUGUUUGCCGGUCCCGGAAGAGAGAAGGACUUUUACUCUUUCAACGUGACAAUGCCACCAAUGCCCCUCACAGUCCUGGUUAUUAUCCUUGGCUAUAAAAUAGCUACAUUACCUUUUUCAGGGCCUGGCGAUACAUGGAAAGGCCCCGUGGUGGUCAGACCUCUUCCUUUAAAGCCUCAUAAUGGAGAUAAUAGAAUGCAAUCAUAAUCAUUUAGGAGUCUGUUAAAGUAAUUAUUGCAAAGUCCCAUCAGGACAGCGUGGCACCAAUGUGAUGCUCAAAUAAUGCUGGGGGGCUGAAGUGUUACGUCUGGGGUGUUGUGUUUUGACACCUGCAUCCUGAAUCUUCCAGGCCCGAAAACUGGAGUGUGUCUGUUGGAAGUCGCUUGGGAUGCUGGGAGCACUUUUGUCCUCAGAGGGAUGAAUCACAGGGCCGGAAGGGUGAUGUGCAAGGGCUAAAGAGAACCGGGGAACUAUUGGAGCACACGGAUGAACUUUUGGGACGGCUGCACUGGCACCAUUGCGGUUCACUUUGUUUUAAUACUUGGUAUUUUCAAAAACUUCCCAAGCCUCUGAGUCUGCUCUGGGCUGUGAUAAAUCCAGUCUUGCGGCCACAAUGAAAUCUUUCCUGAGGAUCGUGUGGGAGUUAAGCUGUGCUCAGAUGCCAGCGUUCCGUCUGCCGUCUUGCAGACUAGCUGUGGGACCUUCUCUGAGCCCCAGACUUGUCGUCUGUCAAACAGGGAUAAUAAUAGAACCGCCUGACACAGUUAUCGUGGGGCUUAAGUGUAAAGCGCCUGGCAUGUGGUCGGUACUAUGCAAAUGCUGGCUAUUGUAAUUAUUAAAAAAUUUGUAUGCUGGUGGGGGGGGAGCUAUCCACUUAACCAAAUAUUCUGAUUAGGGAGGAUCUGGUUAAUUGAGAUUCCUCUGUAAAUAGGAAAGUCUUAGAAAAUAAGUCUGUUUCUAACUGAGGGAAAGACAGAACAUGAUGCGGUCAGUCAGGUUAGGACGUACCGGGCAUUUAAAGGGUCUCAUCUGGGUGAUGUGCUGCUUCCCGGGAGAGGGUUGUAUCUAUGCUGACGCCCCACAAGUACCAGCUGAUGAUGAAAGUGAGGCCGGAUCUUGUCUGCGGCCCUUAUUUGAUGUUCCCAGGCUUGGGUGCCAGGGCAGGUGGCAUCAGGACUUGGGAAUUUCCGCUCUCUCCUUGCUGGGUUCUGUAAAGAGCUCUUUUGCCCAACAAGUCCCUAAAGAUUGUUUCACGAUCUGUAGCUCCCCCAAGAUUGGUCAGAGGUUGGGAGCCUUUAGGGAAGAGAGAGUUCAUCCCAGCAGAAGCUGGUAACCUCAGGUACCUCCAUUAACAUCAGUCCCGAGGGCCAAGCUGGGAGCAGCUGGAGUGCCAGCGGCCUGGGUACCAGGGGCCUCCACCUCAUCCAGUGCCCAGAGCCAGGAUGGCUGCCUUCCAGCUUCAUUACUUGCUAUUGGGGGGCCACAAAAAAGGUGAGCAAUCAGUGCAUGCGUAUUUAUGAUACCCUUGUUCUCGUCGUUCUUAUUACCAUUGAGAUGUAUAAUGCGUUCUGGUCUGCUCAUAAUUAUACGGAAUGUCAUCCUGUAUAUAUUUAAUUGUUAAGAAAUAAAAUUUUAAUU